rnacentral:rRNA from 1 species
CGGGUGAGUAACACGUGAGCAACCUGCCCCUGACUCCGGGAUAAGCGGUGGAAACGCCGUCUAAUACCGGAUACGACCCGCCACCUCAUGGUGGAGGGUGGAAAGUUUUUCGGUCAGGGAUGGGCUCGCGGCCUAUCAGCUUGUUGGUGGGGUAACGGCCUACCAAGGCGAUUACGGGUAGCCGGCCUGAGAGGGCGACCGGCCACACUGGGACUGAGACACGGCCCAGACUCCUGCGGGAGGCAGCAGUGGGGAAUAUUGCGCAAUGGGCGAAAGCCUGACGCAGCGACGCCGCGUGGGGGAUGACGGCCUUCGGGUUGUAAACCUCUUUUACCACCAACGCAGGCUCGAAGUUCUCUUCGGGUUGACGGUAGGUGGGGAAUAAGGACCGGCUAACUACGUGCCAGCAGCCGCGGUAAUACGUAGGGUCCGAGCGUUGUCCGGAAUUAUUGGGCGUAAAGAGCUCGUAGGCGGCGUGUCGCGUCUGCUGUGAAAGACCGGGGCUUAACUCCGGUUCUGCAGUGGAUACGGGCAUGCUAGAGGUAGGUAGGGGAGACUGGAAUUCCUGGUGUAGCGGUGAAAUGCGCAGAUAUCAGGAGGAACACCGGUGGCGAAGGCGGGUCUCUGGGCCUUACCUGACGCUGAGGAGCGAAAGCAUGGGGAGCGAACAGGAUUAGAUACCCUGGUAGUCCAUGCCGUAAACGUUGGGCGCUAGGUGUGGGGACUUUCCACGGUUUCCGCGCCGUAGCUAACGCAUUAAGCGCCCCGCCUGGGGAGUACGGCCGCAAGGCUAAAACUCAAAGGAAAUUGACGGGGGCCCGCACAAGCGGCGGAGCAUGUUGCUUAAUUCGACGCAACGCGAAGAACCUUACCAAGGUUUGACAUCACCCGUGGACUCGCAGAGAUGUGAGGUCAUUUAGUUGGCGGGUGACAGGUGGUGCAUGGCUGUCGUCAGCUCGUGUCGUGAGAUGUUGGGUUAAGUCCCGCAACGAGCGCAACCCUUGUUCCAUGUUGCCAGCACGUAAUGGUGGGGACUCAUGGGAGACUGCCGGGGUCAACUCGGAGGAAGGUGGGGAUGACGUCAAGUCAUCAUGCCCCUUAUGUCUUGGGCUGCAAACAUGCUACAAUGGCCGGUACAAUGGGCGUGCGAUACCGUAAGGUGGAGCGAAUCCCUAAAAGCCGGUCUCAGUUCGGAUUGGGGUCUGCAACUCGACCCCAUGAAGGUGGAGUCGCUAGUAAUCGCGGAUCAGCAACCCCGCGGUGAAUACGUUGCCGGGCCUUGUUCACAUCGCCCG